UAGCCUAAUUUCCAUUCCAAAAAGGAACCAUCAGUCCGGCUAAUGUGACCAGACCCCUGCACCUUCAUCUUAUUCUCCGCGUGAACUACAAACGCAAAACUAGCAAAAUCGCGUCCAACUCUAGACGCAAACCAGAGUGUGAGUAGAGCAGCCUAGCGCAUCGUCCCCUCCCAUCUCCUUAUCCUUUUGCACGGAAUCCAGGUGUCGAGAUCUCCCAUCGCCUUUGUCCUCUCUUUAGAAAUCGAAUGACUGGGAUUAUCAGUUUGUUGGAGAGGUGUACAAUUUUUCUAGCUGGCAACCUAAUCCUUUGAAGAGAAUUCGAAUUUGAAAUUCAAAAUUUAAUCGGGUUCCCCCUUUUUCUACUCUAAAUCUCCCCUUAUAAAUAUCCGCUUAUUCUUCAUUGUUUAGUUGGAGAAAAGAACUGAGAAAUUUGGGAAAAGGUUGAGGAAAAAAGAUUGGGGAUAGUUAGAGUGAGUUGGGGGAAAAAAGUGUUGAAGUUUACAGUUGGGAUUUCUUUUGAACAGUCAUAUUUAUAUUCAAGAACUUUUAUACGUUUUCUUUAAUCCUAAGUUGUGAGAGAACCUUUAUUCGAGUCUGGUUUGCAUUUCGUGGUCAGCUGCUCGAGAUUCGAACUCGUGUGGUGGAAGAGUUCGUCCCUACUCGUUGUCUCAUUUCGCUGGCCUGAGAAAGCUCCAUCCGAGUCCCUUCGGACUCCCCUCUUAGCAUAUCAUCGAGUUGAAUUUCUUCGAGUCGGCUUCUUUGUUGUUCGAGUCAAGGGAACCGACUAUCAGGGCUUAAACAUUGAUUCCAAGCCCCUGAAAUUUUGAAAACAUGCUACAUAUUUGGUAUAUACAGUGGUAUACAGAUAAUGUCUACAUGAUAUACAGGCUUAGGUGCAGUGAAUACAAGACUGAAAAUUGAAAUAUAGGUUGCAGGAGUUGAAGAGGGUUGCAUACACUUGGUAUACAGUCCUAUGCACAUGAAAAUUGGUCAAAAUAUGACCUAUAUACAACAAUAUACAUUUGUUGUAUACACAGAUGUUUGAGAGUGAAAAGGGGCCAAACUCAUCCAUUUGCAGGACAUGUUUUGGGCCAAAGGCCCAUCAAAUUUAAAAUUGGGACAAAGGGUCCAAAUUCAAAUUUCUCCCUCAUUCUAUUUAUUUAUUUAUUUGUUAUUAUGUUGCUAACAUCUUGGCUUAACUUAAUUAAUUCCCCAAAGAUAAUCAUUUCUCUUUUA